CAGCUAUCCAAUGUUGCCAGUAGCCCUAAGCAACGAAUACAGCUGACAGAUUCACUGCAAGAGCAUUUUAGGGCUAGAAUUGUGCAAUUUAAAUUCUUGACAAUGGGCUCAUGGGCAAGAAAAGACAUUACUAUCCACACUGCUGAUGAACCAUGAGAAUAGAACUGGCGGAGGCCCCCUUAAAGGCAUUCAUUGCAAAGAAGAGAAGGACACUUGAAGAGUCCUCGGGUUUUUAAGACUGAGAAUUUGCCAACAGUCUCUGUGAAAAUUAAAGGGGAUGUCCCCUUUCAGAAUGUAGCCCCGCAAGAUCAGCUGAUCAGUCUCCUUCGGGCACCCCCAGAAAUCCAAUUACUUUGCAGGGGAAUGUUGUGACCAGUCAAGCAUUUCCUCUGUAGAGGCCACUGCAGGGAAAAUGUUGUAUUACAUGGUAAACACUCAAAUGUCAGUCCGCUGGUAUGGGAACCGCUAAUACAGAGCAGCUCUAAGAUAUGGCUUAUAAAGGGGUUUCCAGGCUAAAGAGCCUUAUCUAAGUUUCCUUACGUCCUAAUAGGACAUAGCUGAUAGCACUUUUGCUGAUGUUUUAGUUUAAUAUAACAAAUUGGCAGCCAUUCAUUCGCAAUACAAC